UAGGUGCCGAACAACGCCCUAGACCGCCGGGGCCACCGGAGGGGUGCCGGUCUCUAGAACCGGACGAGGCCCAUCCGAAGAAGAAAACAUAAGACGGUAAUUAUGAUGUGCUAAGGUUGUUUGCCAAGCAUGGAAGAAA